CAGCCUAUAUCAUUCUGGUGCAGUUGAGAGCUGGAUCUGUAAUUGAAAGUAAAAAGUAUGCUGUUCUGUGCGAGCUUGUCGUUGGCGGUCCUGAUUUCCGCUGGCGUGGCGUUUAACCCCGAAAGAAAGGUGCCGAUGGCAUUAGCCACUGUAGAGAAACCUGUAAACGUCGUCAAAGGAAAGUGUCUCCUCGGCAGUAAAAUUGAGGUAGAAGACGGAAAGACGAAGAAAAUUCCAGAAGCUUGCAUCGCAGUGACGUGCAACGCACAUAAACUGACGGUGACUGAAGAAUACUGUGACAAACUUGAUUUCACUGAUUACCAAUGCUCACUUGACUUGACGGAGUACCAAGAUCAGUUUCCAUGGUGCUGCCCGGCUUUCAAAUGUGCUGUACCAGUACCAAACUAACAAUAAAGUAUUUGUCUUUUGAAGCGCA
rnacentral:lncRNA from 1 species